AUGUUUGUAGUGUCAUCGGUUACUACAGCAACGGAAAUAAGGUUUCGAAGCUAAGUCAAUACUAAUAUUGACUUUAAGAUUUAUACCGAUUUUUAUUAUUUAAAAAAUUCGUUGUAUUCUUUAUGUUGGAUUAUAGUUGUGGAAGAAAAACCCGCUUCACUCGAGCUCUUCCUGGACAAAUAAAACCAUCUUCUCUUUAAGCAUCUAAAGCAAUGCCCUGCCAAACAAUGUCUUCAUGGAUGAGUGAAACCGGAAUUAAGAACAGCACAUUGAUGAAGGCAAAAAAUAUCGAAGCCCGCUCAAAACUAUAUAUUGCCAGAUCUCAGGGAAAAAUCGAGGCAGUGAAUGCGCAUAUUAACUAGCCAAGAAUUCCGCCCUACCGCUCAAAAAGGCUCCAAACUGUGAUAGAAGCCCGAUCUGAUUCAUCAAGAGAAAAAUUCGAAAGGACUCACAUGAGGAAUUGGAGAUACAAGUCCGCUGACACCGCCGCCGUGACAGAAAUAUUUUUCUUUGACGUGGUGACAUCUUAUAGGGUGAUCCGAGGACAGAAAUGGCAGUCAACAAGUGCCAGCUGCUGACGGUAUACGGUGUGUUCUCCAUAUUUUUUCUCCAUAUUUUCUUAGAUUCAGCUGUAAGGACAGCCAGUCGUGUGUCUGUGAACCGGGAAAGAAGGAACGGUCCUGAGUAUUGUCUCCUUUGAGUGUCUAUCAACAGCCGACAAAGAUUAGCCUUCGCGCAUGAGCUGAGUGUCCCGAUAAACCCAAGAAAUUUAAGUGAAUUGAUGACGCUGCAAAAUAGAAAUUGAUGAAAAAGAACAGAACGUUACGAAAUAUUUUAACUUGUACCUACUGAAUUUAUUUGAACUCUGUUAAAAUGUUGAAUUUCAAUUAGAUUUUACUUAAAUUAUAUGUUUAAAAUUAAAUACAACUUUUACAAAUCUAUACAAAUAUUAUAAUAUAAAGCUGAAAA